CUUCUGUCUGCCUUUGUCUCCUUCUGUCUCCCUUGGUCUCCCAUUGUCUUCUUCUGUCUGCCUUUGUCUCCUUCUGUCUCCCUUGGUCUCCCAUUGUCUUCUUCUGUCUCCCUUUGUCUCCCUUUGUCUCCUUCUGUCUCCCUUGGUCUCCCUUUGUCUUCCUUGGUCUCCCUUGGUCUCCCUUGGUCUCCCUUGGUCUCUGUCUCUUGAAGCCUCUUCUGGUCUCUGAUCCGGCUUCACAUCGUCUGAAUCACGAGUCCUCAGAGUCCAGGAGCUUGAUUGUAUUUUUUCAGAUACGAGAAUCUGUGUAAUAAGUUUGCUUCUGAGAUGAAAUGAAGAAAAUACAUCUUCAGGACUCUGUAGGUUUAGAAAAAAGAAAAGAGCAAGUUGCCCAUUUGAUCAGUUUCUAUUUUUAUCCCAAUAGUAUAAAGUUUAUUAUUCACAUAGAUGAAGUCUGAGAAAAUGACUCAAUUUAUUCCCUCAGCGACAAAAACGUCAUCGACGUCGUCCUCUUAAGCAAAGUUUGUGGGGAUUUACUGAGAAAAAGCUCAUACAAAUUAGACGUGAAACAGACACUUAGCCGUUAGCUGCCCCGUUAGCAUCAGAUGGAUCAGAUGGUCUUUUCCUCUGAAUCUGCUUCUCUAAAAUGAGAACAUUGUUAUUUAUGGUUAUUAUUGACCUCCAUGCGGCCAGCGACUUGUUAUUAGUUCGUCUCCCUCGCGGCGUCACACACUAUUAAGGCGGGAGGUCGAGCCUUAUUGAAGCCGGAGAUCAGGAUUCAGCGCAGACGACGCCGCCUGUUUGUUGACGAGAUGAGUUUUAACCUUGUGACUGAUGGCGGGGGACGAGGACGGGGACGGGGACGAGGACGAGGACGGGGACGGGGGCUGGUUGGCGUGACGACGGAAGAGAGGAAAUAACUCAACAAGAAAAUAUCAUAUUGCAUUUUGCUCAGAUGGUUUUAACACGCAGACUGUUCUUCAUCCGUAGGAUAAACUGCUGUGUGUGUUAAUGAAACCACCGAUACAUGUAUCAUUAUCUAUAUACAUAUAUAUAUAUAUAUAUACAUACAUCUACAUAUAUAUAUCUGCAUAUAUAUACACAUACAUCAACACCCCCCAUGAGAGCCACCAACCCUCAGAAUAAUGAUUAUAUCUUUAAUAAUACAAUUAUUGUCUGUGUUAAUUAAUUAAACUGUCCAGCUUUAUUAUAGAGACAAGAGUCACAUCGAGCGAGCAAGAGUCAAAGUGCAGCAAGCAGCUAUCCAGAGCCUCAGUCCCCAAAGCAUGCUGGGAAAAAGGAACCGGCGUGUAUAACGUGAAAUACCAGAAUGGCUCAUCUGGAGACAGUAGCAGCUCAGCUGAUCGGAGAGUUCACAUAUUGACCAUUAAGGGAGGGUCACAGGCGUCUUCGGUUACUCCAUCAUUGGAAGGGCCCCCCACGCACAUGGAGAUUGUCCCUGGGCAGCUUAGACCUACACUGGUAGGUCUAGUUGAGGUCGGGGUCAAACUGAACAUGCCGACAGCUACAUUGGCGCUACAUCGUGCAAGGCGAUCGGCCAUCUCUCUGUGGUCGUGCACGGCUGGUUUUGACUGGUGAACCAUCUUCAUGAUCUCCAACCACCGUCCUAGAAAAGUACACAGAGAUGUUUAAAGACAAACUGGGAAGCAUGAAGAACAUCAUGACUGAACCAGAUCUGAAGUCUGGUAGCAAACAAAGGUUCAUGUUGCCCGAUGAUCUCAGACCAAAAGUGGAAGCAGAGUUACAAUCGUUCGUAGCGAGCGGCGUCGGUGUGAGUGAAUGGCAACGCCCAAAGUUCCUGCAGGAAAACAAGACGGAUCGAUUAGGAUUUGUGUGGAUUUCAAGGUGACCGUUGACCCUGUGUUGGAAGUGGAACAAUAUCCACUCCCUCUCAUCCAUGAUCUGUUUGCUGGCCCAGCAGGAGGAAAAUAAAUCAGCAAAAUUGACCCAGACCUAGAAAACCUGCAAAUUCUGUGGCAUGUGAUUGAUGGCCAAGGCUUUCACCACCAAAGGUCCGAGCCAUCAAAUGUAAGUCAACUACGUUCCUACUAUCUUGGGCUGCUUAAUUCUUAUGGGUCAAGCCUAGUUUAUACUUCUGUGUUUUCAGAGAGAGACGCAGACGCAAGAGCCCCGGUAGGGCACUGUAAAUAAAACAGUGAGUUACCAGCGUCGACUGCCAGUCAUUUGCAGUUAAUUCACAGUAAAAUUUGUUCAAGUUUACGGUAACUAACAGUAAUCCAUUUUACGGUAACAUAGUGUAAAAACCAUUUACGGAAUUAUACCUCCGGCAACAGGCCAACAGACUAAAGACUCUUCAGACUCACCUCCAGUAAAAGACUAACAAAUUGUAGCACUUAAACUGUGCUUGAAUGCACAUAUUGUAAGUCGCUCUGGAUAAACGUGUCAGCUAGAUGACAUGUGAUGUUGAUGAUGUUGAGUCUUGUGGCUCGUGUCAGAGGGUCUGCAACACACCACAGUUACCCCUGUACACCCGGGGCGAUUGUUCGGAAAUGUUCAGUCAUUUUGGUUUUCCAGAACAGCUGGUGAGUGACACCGGCCCCAAUUUGUCUCUGCAGAUCUGCAAAGCACAGAAUUCAACAUAUACGAUCUGCUCCGUAUCACCACGUCACUAAGAAAGAUUAUUCAGAGCAUGAAACACUCGAGGCUCACAAGGACCAGGUUCCCUCCAUCGUCGACUGCACGCUGUCUUGUCGUCAUACAGGAAUGUGCCACAUGGAACGACGAAAGAGUUACACACCGUCAGUGUGAUCCAGUAAAACUCAGCAGCACCACAACUACAACUACACAACUACAGCUGCUCCUCUUCAUCUUCUCUAGAAACGACUGUAUAACAACUCUGAUCGGACCCAGUGAGAUAUGUUGUCUAAUUAAUUUGUCUGAUUUAUAUGAAUAUAUAUACACAUAUAUAUUUACUCUGCUGCUCCAUUACAUGUGUACUAUAGUUUAAAUGAAAAGAAACAAAACUUGACAGAAGAAUACUUAACAGUCAAGAACCGUAUUAAAAUGUCGAGUCUAUUCUUCCGUCAACAGCAAAACGUUUGGAACACACAAACAUUAAACUUUAAUGCAACAGCAGCUGGUGAGUGUGUGUGUGUGUGUGUGUGUGUGUGUGUGUGUGUGUGUGUGUGGCUGUGUGUUCUGAACGUCAUUCAGGCGGAUGAUAUCUAUAUUUUUAAAUGUUGUAUCAUCUGAACACCUUAAAUUUAAUAAUAAUUUAUAAUAAUAACAGACUAGAUUAACUUUGUUUUAAAUGCAGAAGGAAUCUGUCGAUUCUGGAAGGUGAAGAGAUGUUUGUUCUAGAGACAAAGUCUUUUCUGUAUACGUCGAAAGGUUUAGAGUUUAAAAUACAAUAAUAACUACACAAAUAAAGUUAUGCUAAUGAAUAACAGAGACUAAACAUUAUCAUUUUAACAGGAAAUAUUAUUAACUUUAAAUUUGUCUAAAUGAUCUCCUCACUAGACGUCCAUCGUUAAUAACACUACAUUAACAUGCUGUAAAGGUUAAGAAACACACAUAUAACAUGACACAUAAUAGUUUCAUGUUAUAUAAAAUAUAAACAUUUACUAUAUCGGGCUUCUUAAAAACACACAUCUACAGUUUAUCAGGGGUUUUCAGGUAGAAGCUGAAUUUUAAUGUAGACAAAUUUAGCUAAAGCCACGGUACAAAUCUCACAGAGAAUCAAGGGUACACAAAGGAUCUCACAGGAUCACAUGAACAGAUCACAUGAACAGAUCACAUGAACAGAUCACAUGACUAGAUCACAGGAACAGAUCACAUGAACAGAUCACAUGAACAGAUCACAGGAACAGAUCACAGGAACAGAUCACAUGAACAGAUCACAGGAACAAAUCACAUG
ensembl:lncRNA